AUGCAAGUAAUGUGGUUGGUCGUGCUGGCUGCUAAAAAAACUAAUGACACCUAUAAUGCCCGAUGUGGGCUACUGUAUGGGCAUGGGGCAGUGGACCCUUUUAAGUUUUAACUAUAUUUAAGUACUACAUAAAUAUGGAUAUAAAAAAUACCACAUCUCCAUUCAAAUUUGUCACUAAUUUAAGUGAUCUACAUCUAGACUCGUGAUUGAUGUAAGCAGAUGUCGAUCGUAUAACUAUGGUUGUAUCCUACAUUCCUACAUAUUUGAUAUCCAGAGUUUUUGCUAGUAUAUAUUAAUUCAUAACAGUAAAGAAGGAUGCAUAUUUAAUAUACGUCAAGGUAUGUUUAUGUUAUGGUAAAAGAACAACACUAAUGCACGUUUCUUAUUACAUAACACAUUCUUUAGCCAACUAUUACUAGCGUAUUAUUUGUCUAAUCAUCUUGAAAUACGAAUCAACGUAAAGGAAAAAAGAAUACCCACAUUUGUCUAUCUUAGCAUCUAUUAAAGAAGUUUUACAUUUAUUUAUAAACCCUACACUAGACAAUUCGGAUGGAAGUUUAGAGAUAUAUGACUUGUACAAGCUACAGCACCUUCUACAAAGGCAUUUGGUCGACUCAUAUAACAAAAUAUUUGACUCUCAAAGAUUUUUCACCUGUGUUGUUGUCUGGGUUUUU
rnacentral:lncRNA from 1 species